rnacentral:rRNA from 1 species
UACAGAGGUCUCAAGCGUUGUUCGGAUUCAUUGGGCGUGAGGGGUGCGUAGGCGGCGCGGUAAGUCGGGUGUGAAAUCUCGGAGCUUAACUCCGAAACUGCAUUCGAUACUGCCGUGCUUGAGGACUGGAGAGGAGACUGGAAUUUACGGUGUAGCGGUGAAAUGCGUAGAUAUCGUAAGGAAGACCAGUGGCGAAGGCGGGUCUCUGGACAGUUCCUGACGCUGAGGCACGAAGGUCAGGGGAGCAAACGGG